rnacentral:rRNA from 1 species
GAUGAACGCUGGCGGCGUGCCUAAUACAUGCAAGUCGAGCGAACAGACGAGGAGCUUGCUCCUCUGACGUUAGCGGCGGACGGGUGAGUAACACGUGGAUAACCUACCUAUAAGACUGGGAUAACUUCGGGAAACCGGAGCUAAUACCGGAUAAUAUAUUGAACCGCAUGGUUCAAUAGUGAAAGACGGUUUUGCUGUCACUUCUAGAUGGAUCCGCGCCGCAUUAGCUAGUUGGUAAGGUAACGGCUUACCAAGGCAACGAUGCGUAGCCGACCUGAGGGGGUGAUCGGCCACACUGGAACUGAGACACGGUCCAGACUCCUACGGGAGGCAGCAGUAGGGAAUCUUCCGCAAUGGGCGAAAGCCUGACGGAGCAACGCCGCGUGAGUGAUGAAGGUCUUCGGAUCGUAAAACUCUGUUAUUAGGGAAGAACAAAUGUGUAAGUAACUAUGCACGUCUUGACGGUACCUAAUCAGAAAGCCACGGCUAACUACGUG